AUGAACGCUAGCGACAGGCUUAACACAUGCAAGUCGAGGGGCAGCACAGGUAGCAAUACCGGGUGGCGACCGGCGCACGGGUGAGUAACGCGUAUGCAACUUGCCUAUCAGAGGGGGAUAACCCGGCGAAAGUCGGACUAAUACCGCAUGAAGCAGGGGCCCCGCAUGGGGAUAUUUGCUAAAGAUUCAUCGCUGAUAGAUAGGCAUGCGUUCCAUUAGGCAGUUGGCGGGGUAACGGCCCACCAAACCGACGAUGGAUAGGGGUUCUGAGAGGAAGGUCCCCCACAUUGGUACUGAGACACGGACCAAACUCCUACGGGAGGCAGCAGUGAGGAAUAUUGGUCAAUGGCCGAGAGGCUGAACCAGCCAAGUCGCGUGAGGGAUGAAGGUUCUAUGGAUCGUAAACCUCUUUUAUAAGGGAAUAAAGUGCGGGACGUGUCCCGUUUUGUAUGUACCUUAUGAAUAAGGAUCGGCUAACUCCGUGCCAGCAGCCGCGGUAAUACGGAGGAUCCGAGCGUUAUCCGGAUUUAUUGGGUUUAAAGGGUGCGUAGGCGGCCUUUUAAGUCAGCGGUGAAAGUCUGUGGCUCAACCAUAGAAUUGCCGUUGAAACUGGGGGGCUUGAGUAUGUUUGAGGCAGGCGGAAUGCGUGGUGUAGCGGUGAAAUGCAUAGAUAUCACGCAGAACCCCGAUUGCGAAGGCAGCCUGCCAAGCCAUUACUGACGCUGAUGCACGAAAGCGUGGGGAUCAAACAGGAUUAGAUACCCUGGUAGUCCACGCAGUAAACGAUGAUCACUAGCUGUUUGCGAUACACUGUAAGCGGCACAGCGAAAGCGUUAAGUGAUCCACCUGGGGAGUACGCCGGCAACGGUGAAACUCAAAGGAAUUGACGGGGGCCCGCACAAGCGGAGGAACAUGUGGUUUAAUUCGAUGAUACGCGAGGAACCUUACCCGGGUUUGAACGCAUUCGGACCGAGGUGGAAACACCUUUUCUAGCAAUAGCCGUUUGCGAGGUGCUGCAUGGUUGUCGUCAGCUCGUGCCGUGAGGUGUCGGCUUAAGUGCCAUAACGAGCGCAACCCUUGCCACUAGUUACUAACAGGUUAGGCUGAGGACUCUGGUGGGACUGCCAGCGUAAGCUGCGAGGAAGGCGGGGAUGACGUCAAAUCAGCACGGCCCUUACAUCCGGGGCGACACACGUGUUACAAUGGCGUGGACAAAGGGAUGCCACCUGGCGACAGGGAGCGAAUCCCCAAACCACGUCUCAGUUCGGAUCGGAGUCUGCAACCCGACUCCGUGAAGCUGGAUUCGCUAGUAAUCGCGCAUCAGCCAUGGCGCGGUGAAUACGUUCCCGGGCCUUGUACACACCGCCCGUCAAGCCAUGGGAGCCGGGGGUACCUGAAGUCCGUAACCGCGAGGAUCGGCCUAGGGUAAAACUGGUGACUGGGGCU
rnacentral:rRNA from 1 species